AUUGAACGCUGGCGGCAUGCCUUACACAUGCAAGUCGAACGGCAGCGGACCUUCGGGUGCCGGCGAGUGGCGAACGGGUGAGUAAUAUAUCGGAACGUACCUUUCAGUGGGGGAUAACGUAGCGAAAGUUACGCUAAUACCGCAUAUUCUGUGAGCAGGAAAGCAGGGGAUUCGCAAGACCUUGCGCUGAUUGAGCGGCCGAUAUCAGAUUAGCUAGUUGGUGAGGUAAAGGCGUCACCAAGGCGACGAUCUGUAGCGGGUCGUGAGAGGAUGAUCCGCCACGACUGGAACUGAGACACGGUCCAGACUCCUACGGGAGGCAGGCAGUGGGGAAUUUUGGACAAUGGGACGCAAGCCUGAUCCAGCCAUGCCGCGUGAGUG
rnacentral:rRNA from 1 species